GAAUUUGAACCUAAUAGAAAGGAGGUCUAGCUGAUAAUUAGAUUAUUGAAAGUUAAAGUCUUUCCAAAUUUU
rnacentral:tRNA from 1 species